rnacentral:rRNA from 1 species
GAUGAACGCUGGCGGCGUGCCUAAUGCAUGCAAGUCGAGCGAACGGACGAGAAGCUUGCUUCUCUGAUGUUAGCGGCGGACGGGUGAGUAACACGUGGAUAACCUACCUAUAAGACUGGGAUAACUUCGGGAAACCGGAGCUAAUACCGGAUGAUAUUUUGAACCGCAUGGUUCAAAAGUGAAAGACGGUCUUGCUGUCACUUAUAGAUGGAUCCGCGCUGCAUUAGCUAGUUGGUAAGGUAAUGGCUUACCAAGGCAACGAUGCAUAGCCGACCUGAGAGGGUGAUCGGCCACACUGGAACUGAGACACGGUCCAGACUCCUACGGGAGGCAGCAGUAGGGAAUCUUCCGCAAUGGGCGAAAGCCUGACGGAGCAACGCCGCGUGAGUGAUGAAGGUCUUCGGAUCGUAAAACUCUGUUAUUAGGGAAGAACAUAUGUGUAAGUAACUGUGCACAUCUUGACGGUACCUAAUCAGAAAGCCACGGCUAACUACGUG